UACGGGGGGGGGUAAGCGUUGUUCGGAAUUACUGGGCGUAAAGAGCUCGUAGGUGGUUUGUCGCGUUGUUCGUGAAAACUCACAGCUCAACUGUGGGCGUGCGGGCGAUACGGGCAGACUGGAGUACUGCAGGGGAGACUGGAAUUCCAGGUGUAGCGGUGAAAUGCGUAGAUAUCUGGAGGAAUACCGGUGGCGAAGGCGGCAUCCUGGACCGGCAUUGACGCUGAACAGCGAAAGCUAGGGGAGCAAACGGGAGUUAAGAAACCCCAG
rnacentral:rRNA from 1 species